rnacentral:rRNA from 1 species
UAGGGAAUCUUCCGCAAUGGACGCAAGUCUGACGGAGCAACGCCGCGUGAGUGAAGAAGGAUUUCGGUUCGUAAAACUCUGUUGUUAGAGAAGAACAGCGCAUAGAGUAACUGUUAUGCGUGUGACGGUAUCUAACCAGAAAGCCACGGCUAACUACGUGCCAGCAGCCGCGGUAAUACGUAGGUGGCAAGCGUUGUCCGGAUUUAUUGGGCGUAAAGCGAGCGCAGGCGGUCAAUUAAGUCUGAUGUGAAAGCCCCCGGCUCAACCGGGGAGGGUCAUUGGAAACUGGAAAACUUGAGUGCAGAAGAGGAAAGUGGAAUUCCAUGUGUAGCGGUGAAAUGCGCAGAGAUAUGGAGGAACACCAGUGGCGAAGGCGACUCUCUGGUCUGUAACUGACGCUGAGGCUCGAAAGCGUGGGUAGCAAACAGG